UGGCCUCCAUGGACCGUGCCGGAACCGGUGUAAAUACGGAAGAGCGUGGAGGAGAUGAAAGCCGCUGACCACUACUCCAGCGCUGUGUAGGCUCAAAGACUGUCAUAGUGGUCCAAGCAGAUGGCAGCGUGGAUGUGCUGUCACACACAUUGAGGAGAGGGAUCCGGUACAGACAGCUUACGCGUUCUCCGUGGCCGAAGAUGGCAGAGCCCAGGCGUGCUGCAGCGCGUCUUCGCUUGACCUGGACUCCGGAUCGCGAGCCUCUUUUCCUCGAUUUCCUGCGGACUUUGCCCGGCGCCCGACAAAGCAGCAGGUACUCAGUGAGGGUUGGAGAGAGAGAGAGAAGGAAGACGCUCUCUGCGAGCCAGAGAGAGUGUCGUAAGAGCACGAGACGGACGGAAUGAACAUUUUGUUAGUGUGACAUUGUGUUUGUUUGCCCAGAAGGGAAAAUAAACAGGAGUUCACUCCAUUUUCACUGGAGAACUGUGUCCUGACUCUUCUGAACCUGUUACAAAGCGUUUGCCUCUCUUGCCAAGAUUCAGACCGGAUGUUUAUUUAUUAAUUGCAUGUCCAGAUGGCCAAUUCUAUUGACUUGCAGAAUUACAGUAGCCCAGCUGCUGUUCAUGUGAGUGAAAUGCACCUCACUUCAUAAGAGUUCCAAUGGGUCACAAAUAUUAAGUCAAUGGAAGCAGAAUUUGAAAACUUGAUAAAACAGGCAUUCG